UAAGUUAAUAAAAGAGUUUGAUCCUGGCUCAGAAUGAACGUUUUUAGUUAGCUUAACACAUGCAAAUCAAAUAGUUUAUUUUAGUAAUAAUUAUAUGGUGAACGGGUGAGUAAUAUACAGAAAUUAACCUUAGAUAAAUUGUUUAAUACAUGAGAAAAAUUAAUUUGGUUUAAGAAAAGUCUGUAUAAGAUUAGGUAGUUGGUAAGUUAAAGUUUGCCAAGCCGACAAUCUUUAGUUGGUCUUUGAGGAUGAACAACCACAUUGGAAUUGAGAACGGUCCAGACUUUAUAUAAAGGCAGCAGUGGGGAAUUUUGGGCAAUGGGCGAAAGCUUGACCCAGCUAAGCUAUAUGUGUGAAAAAAUGAAUAAUUUUAAAGCAUUUUAGUAAAUAGGAUGAUGACUUAUUUACAAAAAGUCCUGGCUAAUUUCGUGCCAGCAGCCGCGGUAAAACGGGAAGGGCAAACGUUAUUCGAAUUAAUUGGGCGUAAAGUAUAUGUAGGUGGAAAAUUAAGUUUCAAUUUAAAGUUAAAAGUUUAUUUUUCAGAAAAUUGUUAAACUGAUUUUCUAGAGUUUAGUAAGAAGGUUUAUAGAAUUUUAAGUGUAACAGUAAAAUGUAUUGAUAUUUAAAAGAAUCUCAAUAGCGAAGGCAAUAACCUAUUCUAAAACUGACACUGAGAUAUUAAAGCAUGGGUAGCAAAAGGGAUUAGAUACCCCUGUAGUCCAUGCCCUGAACUAUGAAUGCUAAUUUUUGUAAAUUUAGAAAUAUAACUAACGUGUUAAGCAUUCCGCCUGGGAACUACGAUUGCAAAAUUAAAACUCAAAGGAAUUGACGGGGACCUACACAAGCAGUGGAGCAUGUGGUUUAAAUCGACAAUACGCGCGAAACCUUACCAAUUUUUGAAUAAUAUAAUAAUAUUACAGGUGUUGCAUGGCUGUCGUCAGUCCGUGCUGUGAAGCGUUUGGUUUAUUCCAACAAACGGACGAAACUUUUAUAAGUUAAAUAACUUAAACUGUUAAGGAUAUCUUAAAGGAAGGCAAAAAUGACGUCAAGUCCUCAUGACCCUAAUAUAUUGGGCUACUUUUCAUGUGCUACAAUAGUUUUUUCAAUAAGUAGCAAUGAUGUAAAUUUUAGCAAAACUUAAAAUAAAACUAUGUUCGGAUUGUUUUCUGAAACUUGAAAAUAUGAAGUUGGAAUUGCUAGUAAUCGUAAAUAAGAAUGUUACGGUGAAUUCGUUCUUAGGUCUUGUACACACCGCCCGUCACACUAUGGAAAUUCGUUUUAUUUGAAGACUGUUUUAUUGCAGUUCAUAGUAAAAGAAAAACUGGAGUGAAGUCGUAACAAGGUAGCCGUAGGGGAACCUGUGGCUGGAAAAUUAAGUGAAAUUCUACUAUCC
rnacentral:rRNA from 1 species